GUGUUUCGUUAUCAAUAAAGUGAAAUUUAGUUUUGAUUUCGUGUUUGUUGUUGUUAUUGAAAUUCAUUGAACCAAUUUUAAUAUUUUAUUUGCUGCAGCACGCACGGAAAACGGGACACGGGACAACAGGAGAGACAACUAACGCACGCAAAUUUUAGUGCCCGCCAGCCCCUCACCCUCGCCCCCUUCGCAGCCCCUGUAGCUGCUUCAAAAUUGAGUUAAAGCUGUGGGCAGCGAUUGCUGCAGUUUUGUUUUGCCCCGUCGCGAGACUCAUUUGUUUUUGUGUGUGCAGCAAUCGGUAGACAAUGCGUAAGGAUAUGCCAGCAAGGAUAUGCGAGACAGUCGAGACACACGCACACACACACGCACAUUUAAAAUUAUGCAAAUUUUAUUGCGCAAACUGCUGCGUGGCGUCGUCGCCGGCAGAGGAAGCAUGUUUUACAAAGUCUCGGACACAAAAAGGACCUUACACGGGCGUCGGCGUGCAGUGCAGUGCGCAUUGUGCAGGACGUGGCUGCCUUUAAAUGAAGAGCAAAGCUUUCAUUAUGGCAACAAUGUUCAAAUUAUUGAGCAGACGACCCUCGACCCCGCCAAGAAGAAGCAAAAGAAGAAGAAAAAAUGGCACCAGCAGCAACAGCAGUUGAACAAGAAGAAGAACAUCCUGAUAUCCCCACGCAGUGCACCAAGACUAACUAAAAAUGCACUUUAGUCCCUGCACCCGGAAUAUUGUGCCACAGUUGGUGGCAGCCAGCGUAGCGUGUAAAAUCGGCAAGGCGGCAUUUUGUGCUCGAGUGAAAAAUUGCUCAACUGUCGGUGGCCGGCACGGAAAUGCGCGCCUACAAGGCCGGGGGCAGCAAGCCGAGAAGUUCCGUAGCAGCAGCAAUGGCCGUACGUAGUCCAAGCCGACGACACUCCUAACCCAAAUCGCUUAGCGAGCGCGCCAAACAGUUUACAGUUGGCGAAUGGGCCAAAACAUCAGAAGCAGCAGCAGCAGCUGCAGCAGAAACAGCAGCAAUAGCAGCUGGGCUCCAAAUACCGGCACUGGCGCCAUCUAUCGGCAGUUGGCGAAUGAUAGCAGCCAUUUUGUUUAUGCUCGUCUCGCUCGCAGGCAUGCGGCGCACAUAACGCCAUCUCGCUCCUUCCAGUCACCUGCUCAAUGCGACUGCGUCGCUCUGGCAACGCCCACUCUCAGAGCGCAGCGUCUGCGCAUUUGCUAUACGCCGACGCUGAGCACAGAGCCACGCCCACCAAACAGCCAGACAGAGACACAAGCACACACACACAGCGAGCACACAUACACACAGCGGCUGCUUCCAGUGCGAGAAGAGCGUACGCCAGCUGGCUCGCUCUUUAAGAUGAUUUUCAACUCUGUUCAAAGCUUUUUUCAGCACGCGUAAAUUUUCAAAUUUGAAUUUGUGCGCCACAGGAAAGCAAAAAAAAAACCAAAGUGUAAAACAUGUUUUAGACAACAAAUUUGAAUUGUAUUGCAUGCUAAACAAGCAUCGCCUAAUUACAUAAACAAACAGCGAGCCUGAGCUCGGCGCGGUUCAUUACAGCAAUAAUUAUCGGCAUAAAAAGUGGAACGAUAAAGUUAAUUGGGAAUCGGUUUGAUUAGCAUGUGACGUAGCUGCCAUGUUUAAUAAACACUUUGCAUGCUUAUUAAAACUUAACUGUGAGCAUAACUUGUGAGCUGAUCAGCUGUUAUUGGCGCGCUCUCUCGCAAGCACGCUCUCUCACUUGCACACACACAACCAGACGCUGCUGUCGAUCGGACGUCUAUGUGUGUGUGUGUGUGCAUGCAAAUUGUUGGCGCUCUCUGGCGGCGCAUUCUCUUAGCUUAUUAUUCAUUUAUUUGUUUGUUUUAAUUUAAUGCUUUUUUGCGCGCAAGGCAGUUUUUGCUCGUGUUUUUUACUCGCUUGGCGAUUAACAUAAAAAUGCAUUGAGGUGACUUUUACUUUCAAGGUGAUCGAGAACAACAGCAACAACAACAACAACAACAAGAAGAACGAGAACAACAACAAAGUGCCAGUCAUGGGAGCUGCCUUUUAAUUAUGCUUAAGCCAAAGAGGGCGCUGCUGUCUGCCGCCGCAGGCAGGUGCUCGGCCAAAGUCCUGCGAGUCCUUCUUAGUGGCAUAUCAAUAAACUAUUUAGGCUCCCAACGGCUCUCGGCGAUCCGUUACAUUUUCAAUUUGGUCGCGUUACAUGCUAAUGACACGCUGUCGGCGUCGCGGUCGCCGUCGCCGUUGACGUCGUGAACUUGACCGUGGCUAUCAGCGUUAAGAGAUCUCUCUCAGCUUUUGCACUGGCCACGCAGACGGGCAAUUUUCGGAGCGAUCUAAGCGUGGACCCGUCCAUUAAUAAUGCUGCCCCGUCGCGUCGGGGUUCGCGUUGCGCUCCAGUGAACUCCAGUUCCAGCGAGGAGCUAGCUGGCAAAGUCUCCCGCCCGCUGCACUGCAUUUUGGGUUUUAGUUCACGCUCCGAUCCGGUUAUGAUACGCUCGAUGUAUCUCUGGUCGCUGCUCAGCGCAGCGUGCCGUGCAUUCCAUUGCAAUGGCCAGCUAAUGGAUAGAGCUGUUUCUGUGGCACCGGACUGGGAAUGCUAUGAUAAGCCAAGUUGUUCAAUUAGAAAUGCGAUUUGUGCUAAUCCCAAGACAUGCGAACAGCUGGCGAAAGUCACCCAGAUAAACCGACGAGCAGCACCUGUGCUAAUCAGUACGCCCCAAGGCAAAACUCUAACGAAUUCUAGUCAGCCGAGUAGCUGGCCCGCUUCUUGGAAUAAAUGACUGGGAUCAUCAACAACACUCACAACACCCAAACGUGACUCCCAACGCCGACUGCCAAAAAUGCUGCAAACGCACCCACAGCUGAGACGGAUACGGCGACGAAGGCGGAGACCCAACCGAAACCCACAGAGUUCCAUAAAAAUUAUACCAGUUCGCAGCAUAAUCUGGCAGACAUGUGUGAAUUUGCGGCAUUAUCUGCUAGCCAAGAUCUGUUUCAGUUCAACAACAAAAGCAACAACAACAAACUUUGUUCGGAUCGCGCUCGCUCGCCAGUUUUUCCCACAGUCGAUCAACAUAAAAUGAGAUAUGAAGAGAUAUUUGACAGUUACGUGAUUUCUUUCUCGGUUCACCUUUGCGUUUUACUUCAUGUUUAUAAUUUUUAUUUUUAUUUGUAUUUUUUUAUUGUGCAAAUUGCAGCAGCAGCAGCAACAACAACAACAAAAGCAUAGACAAAUCCAGGGCAGUUCACGCCGCCAGAUGGCGCUGCCUUAGUGAAGCCACAAACCCAACGAGCCCCCCCAAAAAUAUUAUUCAAUGCCUUGUUUAAGGACAUGCGUGCUGGCACCAGCCCGCCUCAAAGGAGCCCACGAACACCCUGAUGGAGUUCGUCCGGAGUUUCUGUGGAUUUAGUCGCUAUCGGCAACGAUUCGGGGGCGGACGUUGUCGGUCUUUGAUGCGUACAGCAAGUGCUGCUAUAUCAUAUUUAUCACGAUUAUUACAGAUAUUUUAUUUUCAAGACAGGAAAAUUUUAAUAUAUUAAUAUGUUAUUUUUUAUGAAU